GUAUGUUUCUUGUGGAUUGUUGUACGGACCAACUUUAUUCACCCAUAGAGUUACUGACUCGUCUGCUUGAUACUUGUGAUCAGACUCGGAGGCGAAGACUGUGGAGAGUGAGGAAAUGAGGAGGGAGGCGAAGAAGAAGGUGACGGAGGUGGAUCGUACGGUGGAGGACAUGGUGAUCACCGGCGAAGGUCGAACUGAAUUGGGCGGUCUAGAUGGCCUCCUUUUUCCACUACCCG
rnacentral:misc_RNA from 1 species